rnacentral:tRNA from 1 species
ACCCAGAUGGCGAAAUGGUAGACGCAGCAGAUUCAAAACCUGCCGAGAAAUCGUGUGGGUUCAAGUCCCACUCUGGGUA